GAUGGACUGAAGAAUCCACACUGUACACUGGAGAUACUGAGGAUGCAUUGCUGCAGUAUUACAGAUAAAGGUUGUGCUGCUCUGGCUUCAGCUCUGAGGUCAAACUCCUCAUCACACUUGAGAGAACUGAAUCUGUACUUUAAUAAUCCAGGAAAAUCAGGAGUGAAGCUGCUCUCUGAUCUACUGAAGGAUCCACACUGUAAACUGGAGACACUAUACAUUUAGCAUAAGACACUCACCUGGUCUGGUGUAUGACAGGAGUCUCUCCUCAGACGUUUUUUCCAGGAUAUAUCAGUUAUGGUGGUGAAGCGUUAGAACAUGUCCCACAUUUCCAGCAGUUUGGGAACUGAAUCAUUCAUAUUCAGAUGUAGAAGAUCCAUAACAAUAACUGAAAUAGAUCAGUGUUACUGUUUCCCAAAUGUUUUUGUCACGGCACAGUUUUGAUUUAUAAAACAUCUCAUGGCAGACGGCAAACCACUAAGCUUUAAAAUUAAUUGCACAGACACACUUCAUUGCUUCAGAUGGCAUAUUAAAAGUAGACAUAAUCCUUUAUUCCAAUAGAGGCGGGGCAGAGUUAUGAGGUUUGACUAACAGUUUGAGGAGCCAAUGUAGUUCCAAGGUUUAGUCAUAAGCUCUCUUAAACACUUUUCAUUGCUUAAAUGUUUGUAAAAACUCACCAUUAGAGGUAAAGGAUUCAGGAUAAGGAUGACCGCAUUGAUUUUUUAAAAAUAA